rnacentral:rRNA from 1 species
UACAGAGGUCCAAGCGUUGUUCGGAUUCACUGGGCGUAAAGGGUGCGUAGGUGGCUUGGUAAGUUUGAUGUGAAAUCUCCGGGCUUAACCCGGAAAUGGCAUUGAAUACUAUUGAGCUGGAGGUUUGGAGGGGGACUGGAAUUCUCGGUGUAGCAGUGAAAUGCGUAGAUAUCGAGAGGAACACCAGUGGCGAAGGCGAGUCCCUGGACAACACCUGACACUGAGGCACGAAGCUAGGGAG